UACAGAGGUCUCAAGCGUUGUUCGGAUUCAUUGGGCGUAAAGGGUGCGUAGGCGGCGCGGUAAGUCGGGUGUGAAAUCUCGGGGCUUAACUCCGAAACUGCAUUCGAUACUGCCGUGCUUGAGGACUGGAGAGGAGACUGGAAUUUACGGUGUAGCAGUGAAAUGCGUAGAGAUCAUGAGGAAGACCAGUGGCGAAGCGGACUCUUG
rnacentral:rRNA from 1 species